GCGGGCGUAGCUCAGUUGGUUAGAGCGCUAGGUUGUGGUUCUAGAGGUCGCCGGUUCGAUCCCGGUCGCUCGCCCCA
rnacentral:tRNA from 1 species